AGAACUAUGGAGGCUGCAUCUAUACGGGAUACUCCCACAAAGUGCCAGCACUGAGGCCAGGAGAGGUCACACACAAAGAGAAGCUAAAGGGAGGUGGUGGACAUCGGUACUAACAACGUAAAGAUGCCCCUGAAGUCCCAGACCUGCCAUCUUGGAUUUACAAAUCAGGAUGAUAGUCAAAGAAGUCUGCAAAGCAGGAACCACCAAGGUGCACAGAGCUCUGGGAGCUGAGGAUGCUUCUGAACCCAGAUAUCUUGAGUGGAUCUGUGAGCAUGGUUUUAUUCUACAGUUCAAUGAUUUUUUAUUCUGGAUAAAGCCCAUGAUUACUGACAAGAGUCUUGAAAAACUGAAAAAACAUAACAAACUGAAAGUGAUGGCUCCAGUGGCAGAAAACAACUCAUGCAAAGUCAUCCAGCACAACUAAUGGAAGACAGAACUACUGUCUUCUGAGUGGACACAACCCCAUAGAAGCAAAUCAGCAGUGUUAAAGGCUCUCUAAUCUGCUUGAAACAGGCAAACUUCUUUUUCUAGAUCAAGCACAAGUAAUGCUGCAUUAACAUUAUAUCUUACUUGAUUAACCUCAAGCAUAAUAUAUCAUUUGUAAAUUGGAAAAUCAAGUGUUUGGAGUCAAGGAAACUCUGCUACCCUCUAAAUGUAUUCAAGCUACAUACUGAUGUAAUUACCUACAACUUUUAUACAAACAAAUAGCAUUUUUAGAAAUGGAAUUCACAUCAGCUACCCCAACAGGGAACUCAUGAAACACAGUUUAGCAGGC